UGGUUAUGGGCAAACAUUACUCUUCUUCCCUCUCUCUCCUCUCUCCUCUCUAAAAACACUACUACCGAAAAAACAAAACCAACCGCCGUUCCUUUCUUGCUCGGAUUUAGUCUAAUCGGACUAGAUCCGAGCAAGACAUCCGUUUUAGUUUAAUGUAGUCUUUAGUUGUUUGUUGGAAAUCCCCGGGUUGUUGUAGAGAAUCAGGUAGUCAUGAUACUUGACUUCUCUCUCCUGUAUCUCUCUUCUUCCCUGGAUUGAAGAAGAUCCCCUUUUCUUUUUCCCAAGUCUCAUCUCACCUCAUCUUAGUUCGAAGAAUUGUGGUACAUUUACCUACCACUUCUUUACCUCGUCCAUAUAUUCUCUGAAACCCCGUAAUCAUCUUCAUUAAUCAGAAUUGAUACAUAAAAACCACUUAAUUUUAACCUAAAUCAAAUCUCCUUCAAACAUUUCUUUGUAAUAAAAUCUUGCUCCAUCAAAAAAUCUUGCUCCAUCAAAAAAUUGCUUCUACCACCCAUCUCAUAGAUCUCCUUCACCCAUCCACUACACAUCCCUUCACCCAUUUUCAGUUCUAAAUCAACAAUAUUGUUGGAUUCUGAUGAAGAAAAGGCAUGGAUCAGUUCUUAAUAAUCAUUAAUUGUGCUGGUUCUGUUGAUAUUCAGGGUAAAGUCCUCAUUUUCAGUUCUAAAUCAACAAUGGUGUUGGUUUCUGAAGAAGAAAAGGCUUCCAUCAUCAGUUCUUAGUACUCAUUAAUGGUGGUGGUUUCGUCCAUACUCAGGGCAAGUUUUUGAAAUGGUGGUGCAAAGGGUGGCGGCAAGUUUUUGGUAACGAUUAGGGUUUCAUCUUCGCUGGACUUCUACUUUACAUGGGCAGUUGCUAUCCGGGUAUCUGGAACUGGUCUUGGGCUUCGAUGAGUUUGUGUCCCCUGGUCUUCGUUUUCUUACGGCUUGCAAUUGUAAGGAUUCUUUUGAUCUCCUUGGUCAUCUCCGCCCUUUCGAUUGAAAGGUGUAUCCAUUUGUAAUUUGCUAUUCAAAGUCUGGUUGUAACAAUUCUUAUUUCUUCAAUCAAUAUAUUCCCCUUUCACGAUCAAAAAAAAAAAGUUAACGUCCAUAUGUCCAACUUGAAGAACCAUUAUGCCCUCUCUUUUUCUGGAAUUUCUGUAUUUUAAACAUGGUUGAUUCUUCCUUUUAAUGGCAGUUACAUUAUUCACUAAACCUCAACUUCAGCGUCCACUACGACUACUUACUUGGAUAAGUUCUAACAAAGUCAAUUUCGGGUAGGUAAUUAAUAGAAUUAUUAUCAAAUCCAGUGCAACUUGAAGUUUAGGAUUCCACCGGGUGAUACUGUUUUGGAUGUAACAAGUGCACGACUUAAGUGGUUGGUUGGAUAUAAUUUCCAAUAGUUCCACUAGAAAUUCCCUUAUUGUUGUGUUACAAGCCAGCAUCCGUCUGAGGUGCCUUCUUCGCUUUGAAAUGGCAGGCCAUAUCGGUAGCACCAUAUUUGAUGCACUGGACAGUGAAGUCCAACGGCUUUUCCGUGCCACUUCCUCGGAUGUAGUCAUGAUGGGAGAGGAGGAUGAAAAAUGUAAGGUGGUUACAACUUUCGAAGAGAUCCUGAAUGUUGAAAAUGGACUACCAAAUAAAGCUUACCACGUAUAAUAAGAAGCAAAACCACCCACAGUUUCCAGGAUAGACAUACUACCACCAGGAUUCGCAGUUUGGAUCAGGCUAUACUUUCACGAAAUAUAUGUAUGAGUUCAAUUCACUCAGUUUUAUAUCAAACAAAUUGAUACUUAAACAUUUAUAUUAUUUAUUGGUUGUCUUGCAAUAGGAUCAUGUGCUUCAAGUGCUAAUUUUAUAUUGUUUGAUUUACCAGUCUUUGAUUAUGUUUAUAUAUGUAAGAUUUACAGCUUCUCUGCCACUUUUUUGUGUCCGCAGUUGGUUUGUUGGUUUGUAUUUUGUAGCAUUCAGUCUUCCGAGGGUAAGUUAAACACUACACGGAAUGGUGGAAGCUUUCGUUUUCUUAUGGAUCACAGGAUCAGUAUUCAAAAAUAGCAUACUAUUUUUCCAUUAUGAUUUUUUUGAUACAAAAUGUACAUUAUAAAACCUUAAGUUUACUGGGUGUAGUUUUGCA